GAACUGCCCUGCACUUUGCCUGUGUCUAUGGCCAUCCAGAGGUGGUAACUCUCCUGGUGAAGAGCAGCUGUGAGAUUAGUCCAAAAGACAUCAAAGGGGCCACACCUCUAAUUAAGGCUGUGCAGUGCAGACACAUAGAAUGCCUGGCUAUCCUGUUGGAGCACGGCGCCGAUCCAAACCUCAUGGACUGUUGUGACAACACCGCGCUGCACUAUGCCGUCUACAACGGAGACGUUGCCAUAGCCACGACGCUGCUCGACCACCACGCAAACAUCGAGGCAAUAAAUGAGAACAAGAUAACACCACUUUUGCUUGCUCUGAAACAAAAUAAGGAGAAGAUGGCAGAAUUCUUAAUCAACAAGGGUGCAAAUGUGAAAACAUGUGAUUUCCUGGGAAG